UGGGACAACAUCUUUCCUAGAAAGGUUGGGCCACUAAUGAGAUGAACUAUGGGAAAGGAAGGCAUGGAUGGGUUUGGAAUGAUCCCUAGUAUUUUUGAAAAUUUUUGGGGAAUUUUUGGAGAAGAGGAAAGGGUUGAAGUGAACUUUGGGGUACACAAGCUGGGUGGAUAUAGCAUUUUUGGAGGGGGCUGCCGUCGGAGAGGGGGCUGCUGGCGCACUGUUUUGUGCGCCUCGUUCAUGGACCCGGUGGACAAGUGGAAGGGGGAGAGCGGUCCACUAGACCAUGUACAGGGACGAGUGGAGGUGUGGGAGGUUAACUGUGGCGACAGCAUUACCCAGCAGGCUCGCGUGUCAGUUUGACUGGAAGAGAGAGGGUGGAUGGAAGGGUGACAGGGGGAGGGGGUGGCGUGUACCGGGGGUAGCGCCGGACCCGGGCGGCACCGCCGGGAUCACCAUGGGUGCUGCCAUGGGCUCGCCGGGGCGGCACCGAUUUGGUGCCUCCGGCCACCCCUAGCCUCGCCACUGGAACCAAGAAAGAGUAUAGGACAAGGCGAGUCGGGUGGGGAGGUUGUGGAGAGGAGAGAGAGAAGGGAAAUGGCGUGGCCACGGGAAGAGGGGGCUCGGCUUGGCCGAUGGUGUAUGGAAGUGAGCGGGGAGCGGGGUGCCUUUUAUAUGCAGGCACGCGGUGUAGGAGGGGGUGGCGGCCACGUCACCGAACCUUGCUUAGCAGCCAAGGAACAUGGCGCUGGUGGGGUGAAGGGAUGAGGCCGGCCGAGGGCUGAAGGAUUGCACAACGGCUGGGAAUAGUGGUGGCCGGAAAUGGUAGCGGCAGGGAAUUGUGGCAGCGGGGAUGGAGAGCGCAUGCGGUGUCAGAGGAGAGGAUAGGAGCGGCCGGUGGCUUCGCGGCGAGGGAAAGGGAGGGGGAGCUGCAAUGCCGGUGUGGAUGAGUAUGAUGACAGUGUCAUGAUGGCGGUAGAGGAGGAUAGGGUAAGGUGACACCGGUGGCAGGGGGAAGGGGAUGACCAGGAUGAGGUGCCCUGCUUGCAGGAGAAGGCGGGAAGGGGAGGCGCAUCUGCGGAGCAUGGCGUCGUGGCGAUGUGGAUGUUACCAUGGAGAAGG
rnacentral:lncRNA from 1 species